CCUCCUUUUCUUGGCCAGCCGGGCCUGCGAUCCGCUCCCCACCAUGUGCAGGAAAGGGCUCCGGUCCCCUCGGCGUCAUGUCUGCCGUGCCGGCUGCUUCCCAUUCGCCGGUUCUGUCCUCCAGCAGUGAGACAGGG
ensembl:snoRNA